GAUGAACGCUGGCGGCGUGCCUAAUACAUGCAAGUCGAGCGAACGGACGAGGAGCUUGCUGCUCUGAUGUUAGCGGCGGACGGGUGAGUAACACGUGUAUAACCUACCUAUAAGACUGGGAUAACUUCGGGAAACCGUAGCUAAUACCGGAUAAUAUUUUGAACCGCGGGGUUCAAAAGUGAAAGACGGUGUUGCGGUCACGUAUAGAUGGAUCCGGGCUGUAUGAGCUAGUUGGUAAGGUAACGGCUUACCAAGGGAACGAUGCAUAGCCGAACUGAGAGAGUGAUCGCCCACCCUGGAACUGAGCCACCGUCAAGACUCCUACGGGACGCCGCAGUAGCGAACCUUACGCAAUGGGCGAAAACAUUACGGAGCAACGCCGAGUGAGUUAUGAAGGUCUUCGGAUCGUAAAACUCUCUUAUUAGGGAAGAACAUAUGUGUAAGUAACUGUGCACAUCUUGACGGUAACUAAUAAGAAAGCAACGGCUAACUACGUG
rnacentral:rRNA from 1 species